rnacentral:rRNA from 1 species
CCUACGGGUGGCAGCAGUGGGGAAUAUUGGACAAUGGGGGGAACCCUGAUCCAGCGACGCCGCGUGAGUGAAGAAGGAUUUCGGUAUGUAAAGCUCUAUCAGCAGGGAAGAAAAUGACGGUACCUGACUAAGAAGCCCCGGCUAACGACGUGCCAGCAGGCGCGGUCAACCGUAGGGGGCAAGCGUUAGCCGGAUUUACUGGGGGAAAAGGGAGCGGGGAGGGUGCUGCUAGUCUGAUGUGAAAGGUCGGGGCCCCACCCCGGGACUGCAUUGGAAACUGUUGAACUGGAGUACAGGAGCGGUAAGCGGAAUUCCUAGUGUAGCGGUUCAAUGCGUAGAUAUUAGGAGGAACACCAGUGGCGAAGGCGGCUUACUGGACUGUAACUGACGUUGAGGCUCGAAAGCGUGGGGAGCAAACAGGAUUAGAUACCCUUGUAGUC